GCUCGGCUAGCUCAGUCGGUAGAGCAUGAGACUCUUAAUCUCAGGGUCAUGAGUUUGAGCCCCACAUUGGGCG
rnacentral:tRNA from 1 species